rnacentral:rRNA from 1 species
AGAGUUUGAUCCUGGCUCAGAACGAACGCUGGCGGCGUGUUUAAGACAUGCAAGUCGCACGGGAUCAUUUGAGUAGCAAUACAAGAAUGGUUUAGUGGCGCACGGGUGAGUAACACGUGAAUUACAUGCCCUGCAGAGGGGGAUAGCCCAGGGAAACUUGGAUUAAUACCCCAUGGUAUCGCAAGAUUAAACGGUGGCCGCAAGGCUGUCGCUGCAGGAUUGGUUCGCGCCCUAUCAGCUUGUUGGUGAGGUAACGGCUCACCAAGGCUACGACGGGUACCUGGUCUGAGAGGACGAUCAGGCACACUGGAACUGAGACACGGUCCAGACACCUACGGGUGGCAGCAGUCGAGAAUAAUUCACAAUGGGGGCAACCCUGAUGGUGCAACGCCGCGUGGAGGAUGACGGUCUUCGGAUUGUAAACUCCUGUCAUCUGGGAGUAAGACCUGGUCGUUAAUAGCGGACAGGGUUGAUAGUACCAGAAGAGGAAGGGACGGCUAACUUCGUGCCAGCAGCCGCGGUAAUACGAAGGUCCCGAGCGUUGUUCGGAAUCACUGGGCGUAAAGGGAGCGUAGGCGGCGUGGUAAGUCAGAUGUGAAAUCCCGGGGCUCAACCCCGGAACUGCAUCCGAUACUGCCGUGCUAGAGGAUUGGAGAGGUAGCUGGAAUUCUUGGUGUAGCAGUGAAAUGCGUGGAUAUCAAGAGGAACACUCGUGGCGAAAGCGAGCUACUGGACAACUCCUGACGCUGAGGCUCGAAGGCCAGGGUAGCGAAAGGGAUUAGAUACCCCUGUAGUCCUGGCAGUAAACGGUGCACGCUUGGUGUGAGGGGAAUCGACCCCCCUUGUGCCGGAGCAAACGCGUUAAGCGUGCCGCCUGGGAAGUACGGUCGCAAGACUAAAACUCAAAGAAAUUGACGGGGACCCGCACAAGCGGUGGAGUAUGUGGCUUAAUUCGAUGCAACGCGAAGAACCUUACCAAGGCUUGACAUGGAUUUCUAAGCACGUGAAAGCGUGUGACCCUUCGGGGAACUUCCACAGGUGCUGCAUGGCCGUCGUCAGCUCGUGUCGUGAGAUGUUGGGUUAAGUCCCGCAACG